rnacentral:lncRNA from 1 species
ACCAUAACUAUUUUAUUUUAAAGAUCUAAUAAUUUUAGAGAAUUUAAUUAGUUAAAUUGAGAGAUGAGAUGAGACUUGACCAGUUAAUCUUAAUCCUCCUACUGACUUUACCAAGUCAGAUUUAAGAAGAUCAGGCAUAAACUGGUCCAGCCAACCAGUCAUGAAUCCUCCUACUAGCUUCACCAAAUCAUAAAGAGGACUCAAGACAAGUUGAACUAGAGACACC